UCCAUUCUUGCUGUCAACUCUGCUAAGAUUUUUGUAUUUGGAAUUCAUGGUAUUGAAUAAGAAGGCCAUGUUGAAUGGUCUCUAGAUUACAAAUACCAAGACCUCCUUGGUGCAGGGAGGGAUGUCUGGGAUAUGAGCAUGUGUGCUCUUGCACUAUCACCAUUAAUCCUUACAGGGUAACCUCUGUUCUACUCUCACCUCAAGCCAAUUAGCUGAAGAAACUCACUUGGAAAAGUAAUUCUCCAGGUGCAGUUGAGGCAACAACCUGCAAGAGCAGAGGAGUCGUGCAUCAUAAUCUGGAAGUGGCAAGAUUCAGCCUGGCCUUGGUGGAAGCAAAUUACACAGUCUUGCGUCCUCCACCAAAAAUGUUCUUCUCCCAGACGUUGUGAAUUUUAGGAGUAUUCAGAUCUGAGAUCUUAGCCCAGGUCACAUAUCAGUGUUAAAUAGAUGAUUAAUAAGUAUCUGCAUAUACUUGUACUGUUUAAAUGAAGGGAAAAAACCCUCAAACUAAUUUAAAGGAUUAACAAAAAGAAAUUAGAAACACUAUAGUAUUCUGAAAUAGAUGUAAAUGCCAAAUAUCGUCACAAAGGGAAAAUAAAUAGAAAGAAUACCAAGGUGAAUAUGAAAUAAUUCUGUUGACCGACAGUAAUUAUUGUAGAUAUUUAUAUUUGGUUUUCACACGUGACUGCUACAAAUACCCAUAAAUAUGAAAAAAUAU